UACAGAGGGGGCAAGCGUUGUUCGGAAUCACUGGGCGUAAAGGGCGCGUAGGCGGCUUUAUAAGUCGGGGGUGAAAGCCUGUGGCUCAACCACAGAAUUGCCUUCGAUACUGUAGAGCUUGAGACCGGAAGAGGUAAGUGGAACUGCGAGUGUAGAGGUGAAAUUCGUAGAUAUUCGCAAGAACACCAGUGGCGAAGGCGGCUUACUGGUCCGGUUCUGACGCUGAGGCGCGAAAGCGUGGGGAGCGAACAGG
rnacentral:rRNA from 1 species